GGAUGAGAGUAUGAAAGAUUGAUCAUGAAUUGACAAUUGUUGAAAUUUUGCGAUGGGUACAUGAGAGUUUAUUACAUAGUGUUCUAUCUAUUUUUGUAUAUGUUUCAAUUUCUCCAUAUUAAAAAGUUAAAAAAAAUCCUAGUGCACAUUGUUCGUUUUGCUGAUACCACAUAAAUUCCAUGAGUACAUGGUGGAGAGGAGAGAUAGGGAGGUGAAAAAGGAAGGGAAAGGAAGAGAAGAGGAGAUCAAGAUUGUAUACAAGACGCUGCCCACUUCUCCCCUACAGCCUGGGCUGGGAAGGAAGAGAAAAUGAUCAGAACAUAAUCAACCAACCCAACCACAUCUUGGUGAUGCACCUCAAAGGAAAUGAAUGAGACUUUACUUUUGAAGAGUGUGUGGGGGCUUAGCUUUUUACUCUGUCUGGGGAGAAAACUCCAGUUUAUUCUGGAAUAUGUCUCCACAACUCUGAUUUAUUUCAUCCAUCUGUCUCUGUGGAUCUCUUUCUGGCUUUGCAGACAAAGCUGCUGAAUGAAGGAAGAGAUGAUAACGCCCUCUUUGGCACCCAGCUCUUUCUGGGAGGCACAUCCUCACCCAGUUGGAAGGGAAUGAAGACUGUCGCAUCUGUCAGACCUCUGGACAUAGCCCUGUGGCACAAAGAGAUGUCUCUUUAGGCAAAAUCAGGCACCAUGUGAAUUUGAUUUCUGUUCCUAGUAUAAAGGGGCUGUGACUAAUUUUAUAUUCUGCGAGUGGUUUUGAGGAAUGAAAAAUCUAUUCUUCCCACCCCCAGCCGCCCACUCCCUCAAAUAAGGGUUUCCUUUUCCCAAGACGCCAGAUUGCUUUGCAGACAAUGCCACUCACUUGUUACAGGAGGUUCUGGGAGAAGUUGGCAUAUAGCAUACUUCUGUUCUUGGGCAUUCUUUGGCUUAAUGGACACUGGACUUAUCAGUGACCCAUGGUUGUGGACAGCUGCUUUUCUUGUCUGUGACGCCCCUUCAGAUGCACAAAAACACACACAGGAAGCCCCAAUAUGGUGACCUUAAGAGCUAGUUUGAAAAAUACUUUUGUUUUAGAAACUGUGUGGGCUGGUAGAAAGACGAAGUGAAGCUUUCACAAUUAAGAACUGUGCUUUGGAGUGUUGAUCCCAGGAGACAAACUCCCAGAAAAUAUUCCUUCACUGUUCUUGACUUUGGCUUUCACUUUAAUACAUGAUCCACCAAUUAGGCAUCCAAUUGGGUUUCUAAGAUUUAUUUUUUUAAAUGUGAGGAUGAAGGGAUUCCCAGUCACUGAGAACAAAGGAUGAAGGGGUUCCCAGUCACUCACAUUAUAGUGAGAAUUAGUCCAAGAAAAUAGCUUUCCUCUGAACCCCUUUUUGCAUUCGGCUACUUUGAAACAGUGAGACUUGGAGUGAGAGAGAAGGGUAAUUUUAGCAACAGUGCACUUUGGGGACUGAGGACCUGAAUUAAGAGAUUCCUACAUUUGAAUUCCAACAUUUUCUAAUGUUCAGAUGCAUCUGAUAGACCAGUAAUUUUUCUAGGGAGAUUGACCACCAUUUAAAACACUGUCUUCAUGGUGGUGGUGGUAGUGGAGGGCGGCAUUUGUUACUAGUUCUGAACAACCAGCUUGCAAGUGAAUUUUUUCAGUCAGUAAUUUAGACUGUGCAAAUGAUGAAACUGAUAUUCAGAAAGGCAAAAAGGUCUCACAUGUACGGUAGUGAAAAAAGA
rnacentral:lncRNA from 1 species